rnacentral:rRNA from 1 species
GUGAACGCUGGCGGUGGACCUAACCCAUGCCAGUCGAACGGCAGCACAGUAAGAGCUUGCUCUUACGGGUGGCGAGUGGCGGACGGGUGAGGAAUACAUCGGAAUCUACUUUUUCGUGGGGGAUAACGUAGGGAAACUUACGCUAAUACCGCAUACGACCUACGGGUGAAAGCAGGGGAUCUUCGGACCUUGCGCGAUUGAAUGAGCCGAUGUCGGAUUAGCUAGUUGGCGGGGUAAAGGCCCACCAAGGCGACGAUCCGUAGCUGGUCUGAGAGGAUGAUCAGCCACACUGGAACUGAGACACGGUCCAGACUCCUACGGGAGGCAGCAGUGGGGAAUAUUGGACAAUGGGCGCAAGCCUGAUCCAGCCAUACCGCGUGGGUGAAGAAGGCCUUCGGGUUGUAAAGCCCUUUUGUUGGGAAAGAAAAGCAGCAGGUUAAUACCCCGCUGUUCUGACGGUACCCAAAGAAUAAGCACCGGCUAACUUCGUG